AUUGAACGCUGGCGGCAGGCCUAACACAUGCAAGUCGAACGAGUGGCGGACGGGUGAGUAAUGUCUGGGAAACUGCCUGAUGGAGGGGGAUAACCACUGGAAACGGUAGCUAAUACCGCAUACCAUCGGAUGUGCCCAGAUGGGCUUAGCUAGUAGGUGGGGUAACGGCUCACCCAGGCGCCGAUCCCUAGCUGGUCUGAGAGGAUGACCGGGCACACGGGAACAGAGGCACGGUCCAGACUCCUACGGGAGGCAGCAGUGGGGAAUAUUGCACAAUGGGCGCAAGACUGAUGCAGCCAUGCCGCGUGGAUGAAGAAGGCCUUCGGGUUGUAAAGUACUUACAGCGGGGAGGCGUUACCCGCAGAAGAAGCACCGGCUAACUCCGUGCCAGCAGCCGCGGUAAUUC
rnacentral:rRNA from 1 species